UGGAAGAGAAGAGAGAAGACGAUAAACAAUUUGUGAUGUUGAUUGGCAUUCUUGCGGUCUUCCGCUUCUCUUCGUCGUCUUCAGUUUUGGAGUUGACCCAUGUACAUAUUGGUGAAGUGAUUCCAUUUUAAAUUCACCCAAAAAAAAGCCAGAAUUUAGAGAGAACGUAUACAGUAUACUCCAGAGGUAUCGCGGUAACCUAGAAUAAACGGCCAUUUGGCCUUGCAGUUGUCGAGU